rnacentral:rRNA from 1 species
CACGUAGGGGGCGAGCGUUGUCCGGAUUUAUUGGGCGUAAAGAGCUCGUAGGCGGCUCAGUAAGUCGGGUGUGAAAACUCCAGGCUCAACCUGGAGACGCCACCUGAUACUGCUGUGGCUAGAGUCCGGAAGAGGAGAGUGGAAUUCCUGGUGUAGCGGUGAAAUGCGCAGAUAUCAGGAAGAACACCCGUGGCGAAGGCGGCUCUCUGGGACGGUACUGACGCUGAGACGCGAAAGCGUGGGGGAGCGAACAGG